rnacentral:lncRNA from 1 species
GACAGCGAACACGGCUGGGUGCGGGCAGACUCGUGCUGCGGCCGGCGGCGGCUGUGCCCGGGAAGCACGAGGGCAGCCGGCCGCAGCAGCGCCUGCUUCAGUGCGGAGGCAGCAGAGACCGAGGGCGUGGCGGUGACAAGCUGGUUUUGCGGUGAAGCAGGGAAGCAGGACCACGGGGACGAAAAGGCGAGGAGGAGGGAGAAGGGUUGAGCGGACCCUACAGGCCAGCGCCCGCUCCCCCCAAGGUAGCUUUGGAUUGCUGUGAAGGCAGCUCUCAGAGGGAAGCCAUGGGCAAUAUGCUCAGGAAGGUGGAUGAAGUGAAGACCCUGAAAGUGGAAACUUCUGGGGGCUGUGAAAGGAUACUUCCCUGGACUCCAGCUUCUGCCAGACAACUUGGUGGCAAGUUUAAACAUCUCUGAUGGUAAAGUGUCCAUCAGUGAGAGCACAGCCACUGAGAUCAUUCUGCGCAUGGCAAGCUGAUCUUCAGGGCAUCCAGCAAAGAGAGGACCUGAAGGGCUCGGCUUUGGGGGAAGCAGGGCUCAGGGAAGCAGUGAAAGAGCUCAUAGGUUUUCCACCCACUGGAGGCUUCCUGCUGGAAAUGGAGUUUGCCCUCCUCCUCUUGGCUGAAAUAAGGUCCCCUGCUGACUCACCCCAGCCCUCCAACCACAUUCCCCUGGUCUGCCAUGACCCAGAUCUUCUUCCAACAGCAUGGGCUUUGGGAAGAGGCUUCAAGGAACAUGUGCCUGCCCAUGCUCUGCUCUCUGUAGAGAUGUGUAGAGGCCCAUCUGGAAAGUCUACAGCUGCAGCUCAGAGAGUCCAGUGGGACAUUGCUUAGACCGGAGCUGCCCCAUCUGUUCAUCCUUAAUGCCAUACUAGCAUCACCUUGGUUUAGUACAUUGCACUUCAGACCUGAAGUUGCUUCUUUAGUCUCUGAGCAUGUAAAGCUGUUAUUAUUGAGCUGUGCGGUAGAUAGGGUCUUUCUCCAGCAGGAUUAUAGAUGAUGGUGACUUUGGUGGCACUCAGGAGCAGGUCAGAUGAUCCCCAUGGUGCGUGUGAACUCCUGUUUAUCCCCACUGUGUUCCCCUUGCUACACAGCCGGUCUCUGUGAGCAGUGAAAUCCCUCUGCAGAGGGCUGGAGGGCUGGAGGGAAUUCCCUCCAGCCUCUCACACAGACUAACCCAGAUAAUCCUUUGCUAUCUGCCACAUCUCAGUAGAUCUAUUAAAUACACACGAGUUCUUGUGUCUUUGUGUGUAACCAGGAUAUGCUCAAAGAUUUCAAAUCCCCCAGUGUAGGAUUCUUAUCAAAGUUUUGGUCAAAGUCUAAAUAAAUACACCCCUUGUACUCA